ACAAGAAGAUGAUGACAUCCAUCAUACUUGCCCGCUCUUGCUCUCUCUGACUCACUGUGAUGAAAGCAGCUGCUACAUUGUGAGCUGUCCUGUAGUCCAUGUGGGAAGGAACUGAGGGAGGUCACUCACCAACAGCCACUGGGAAAUAGGCUUUCAAUCUAGCCACCCAUGAGAAACUGGAUCCUACCAUCAACCGCUUGAUAAUUAGCAGAUUCUCCCUUCAGUCCAGUCUCAAGACGGCUGCAACCUCAAAUGACACCUUCACUACAACCUCGUGAGAAACCCUGAGCCAGAGGAGCUGGGCCCUUGACCCAUAGCAGCUGUGAAAUACAUUUGUUGGCCACUCAGGGCUACUUUGGCUGGAAGAACAGAACAGACCCUGUUCCAGUUCCCAACGUGAUUAAGGUCUGGGGGUACACACAGGUCGCUGCACCAUCACCGUUCACAGCACAUGGGAACACAGCAUGUGGGAAGCACGCAGGAGGCUGCGAUGAAGAAUAAUUGGAGGGAAAUCGGGCACAGAGACACAGGCACAUGGUAACAAUGCCAGGCGACAACAAGGACAAGAGUAGAGGGAUGCAGGUGCAAGUUGGGGAGCUCCAAGGACAGACAGCAACCACUUGAAGCUGGAAGAGGCAAGGAAAGCUCCUCUUCCUAGGAGCUUCAAGGGGAGCACAGCCCUGCUGACACCUUGAUUUUGAACUUUGAGCCUCCAG